ACCGAUUUAGAAGUUGUUUCCUACCUGCCUCGUCUUUGAACUCCAGCAUGUCACAAAACUUUCAGGCUUGGACACACCAGAAAGGAUCUUUACAUUACAAUGUCUGACAGCCAACGUUGUGGGUUUUCACUGGAAUCAUGCGUGCACUUCCCAGCACUGCACGUGGCAAAUGCUCUGACCUACACAGAGAUCUCUGUGUGUCCAUUCACUUAGGCACAUCAGCUGUGCCCACAUCGGGGCUCAUGCCAAGGCAUGUGCGUGUGUGUGUGGUUUCUCAUCAUAUAAGUUUUCACUGAAUGAGGAACGUAAGGAAGAAUGCACCUUUUUAUUUGUAGGAAGGACCUGAACCAUCAUAUUUUAUAUAGCUUUGGAAAAAGGAAGCACUGCCAUUUGGAAGAAAGUUUAGGGGCUCUGAAGAGGACGGCCUCUUCAUGCUGGCAUAAUUCAAUUUCUCUAUUUACUGGAAAUUGCCCCAUUAAACUGCUUGAAGCGUGGCCAAGGACAGGCUAUAUAAGGCCUAACUGUACUCCCUUAUGAAACUCGGUAGCAAAACCCUUGACACCUUCAGCCUUGUAUUUUGGAUUUAUCAUGUAUUAUACAUCGCUGUGUUUCCUUGGGAUUUACAGUUAUGGUGUUUUGCAAGAGUUCAGCCCCUUUGCCAAUGCAUUGCAGGAGCUGUCUCAUACUGGGCUAUGGGAAGAGCCAUACUGGGUCAGCCUCAAGAACUGGUCAGUCUGGUGUUCCAUAAAGCACUUUCUUGGGCUGCAGUGCUGAGAGAUGGCUUGUCAAAGGCCCAGCUCGUACUAGAGCCAGCGUGCGUGAGAGAGCAGCAUAAAAGUCACCAUCAGGUGGGACCCACAUGCUGUACAAGCAGAAGGAAUGGGCUGAUCUGUUGUGACAAGCUCUGCCCCAAGGACCCUGCAGAACAGCCAGCUCCUACCGGGCCGAUCCCUAUUGGGCUGUAUCAAAGCCUUGAAGAAAGUCAAUAAAGCUGAAAGGAGGAGGAUGCAAGGCAUGGUAUUCCCCUGCAACAGGCCAUGACAUUAUUAAUAUUAACUGAGGGGAUAUCAUAGAAGAAUCAGGAGGCUUACACAGGUUGGCAAGCUUCCUCUAUUCACAUGGCCAGGAGGCAUAAGCAUGACACCGCUGGUAAUUUCUCAAACUCAAUCUGAAAGCAAAGACAAUGUGCUCGGUGACCUACAGCAGCCUCGCAGCUUUCGGUAAAUCCUCAAACUCUGGCUCAAUGAUAUCCGGAAUAAGGGCGGCCUGGAGGAGAAGUGGGGGAAACAACGCAGCUGCUUUUCUUGCCAGCUCCAGACGACUCCAGAUGUGUGUCUUUCCCACCAGUAUCUGAAGACAUUUGGCUCUGGAGCCGGGCAAUCUGCAUGCCAGCAUGCUGCCUGCUGGGGCUGCCAGCCCCGGGGGCUGCGGUGCU